AUUCUUCUUUUAGGGGUGAUUCCAUAAUUACGAAGGUAGUUUCCCCAGGGUGAGGCUUAUCCGUUGCAUACCACCCCUGUGAUUUCCUCAAAUGUGGGAAACUUAACUGCAUAAUUUGUGGUAGAGGGGGACCAUAUUUGUGCUCUCCCU
rnacentral:snRNA from 1 species